rnacentral:lncRNA from 1 species
CGCAGCGUGAGCGCGCGCUCCCGUCCGGAAGUACGCUCAACCGCACCUCUGGGAGAAAGCUGUGCGCUAGUGUUUUGUGCUUGUCCUGGUUAGACUUCGUGAGAAGAAUGAGGCACAAUGUAAACCACUUCCCCAAGUAACAAGACUGGUAAGUGAUGAUUAUGUUAUUAUUAUCUCUCGACUGGAGAGGUUCUCGAUUUUGCCCAUAUUGAAGACACCUUGGGUCUCUUCUCUCACCCUCCAGUAUUGGCAGCUUUCUCUCAUUUACAGCCAGGCUGACAACAGGGAUGGAAAAGAGUUAAUUCAGAAGUGGGAGGUGGAGAGUUCCCUGCUGGCUUUGUGGAUUAAAGAUCUGAUGUUGUCACUGCUGUGGCAAAGAUUUGAUUCCUGGCCCAGGAACUUCUUAAAAGAAAAAAAAAAAGAAGAAAUAGUAGUAGGAAAGUCUGCCCUGUCACCUACCAUGGCAAGUCACUACGCCUCCAGCUAGUGAUGAUACAGCUGUCUGCCUGCAGUGCAUCAGACCGUAUGUGGUCCAUGCCACUUGUGGAAGACUAUCUCCAAGUUUGGUUGUGAACAGUCCUCCCAUCCUGAUAUGAAUAUGCUGCUCUUCCCUCUCUGCGUAUGAACUGUGACUUGGUGUGACCAACAGAAUGCAGAAGUGAGGCUGAGCCAGUUUUGGUUCUAGCCCUUGAGAGGCAUGGCAGCAUCCACUUUUCCUCUCCUGCACUCAGCUACCAUGCUGCAAGUCUGUCAUGCUGGAGAGAGACAUGGGGAGGAGAUUCAAGAUGCCCCAACUGACAGCCAGCACCAAGGUUCCAGACAUAAUGAAGCUGUCUUGAACCUUACCACCCAAUUCAGCUGCCAGCUCAAUGCAGUUACAUGAGUGAUCCUAGCUAAUAUCACAUGAAGCAGAAAAAGGUGAAAAAUAAUUAAGUCAUUGUUACUGAGCUUUUUUGUAUCUAAUUAAAAAAAUUGAGAUUCGCAGAACGAUCAUAGACAU